rnacentral:misc_RNA from 1 species
GAAAUGCGAUAAGUAAUGUGAAUUGCAGAAUUCAGUGAAUCAUCGAAUCUUUGAACGCACCUUGCGCUCCUUGGUAUUCCGAGGAGCAUGCCUGUUUGAGUGUCAUGGAAUUCUCAACUCUAUUUGCUUUUGUGAAUAGAGCUUGGAUUUGGAGGUUUAUUGCUGGUACUUGUGAUCGGCUCCUCUUGAAUGCAUUAGCUCGAAGCUUUGCGGAUCAGCUAUCGGUGUGAUAAUUGUCUACGCCGUUGCAGUGAAGCAUAUCAAUGGGCUCGGCUUCCAAUCGUCCUUUACUGGACAAUGACUUUGACCUUUGACCUCAAAUCAGGUAGGAUUACCCGCUGAACUUAAGC